UUUUACCCUACUGAUGAUGUGUUGUUGCCAUGGUAAUCCUGCUCAGUACGAGAGGAACCGCAGGUUCAGACAUUUGGUGUAUGUGCUUGGCUGAGGAGCCAAUGGGGCGAAGCUACCAUCUGUGGGAUUAUGACUGAACGCCUCUAAGUCAGAAUCCCGCCCAGGCGGAACGAUACGGCAGCGCCGAAGGAGCCUCGGUUGGCCUCGGAUAGCCGGUCCCCCGCUCGUCCCCGCCGGCCCGGCCCGGGGCCCGGCCCUCGCGUCCGCGCGGGGUCGUCGCCCCACCACCGCGCGUCGGGACCGGGGUCCGGUGCGGAGAGCCUCUCGUCCCGGGAAACGGGGUGCGGCCGGAAAGGGCGCCGCCCCCACGCCCGUCGCGCAACGCACGUUCGUGUGGAACCUGGCGCUAAACCAUUCGUAGACGACCUGCUUCUGGGUCGGGGUUUCGUACGUAGCAGAGCAGCUCCCUCGCUGCGAUCUAUUGAAAGUCAGCCCUCGACACAAGGGUUUGU
rnacentral:ncRNA from 1 species